CUUCUGAGCUGAAGCCAUGCCUCCUACUCGUUUAUAUGUUGCAGAUGAAUCAUGAGCUCAUCUUGGUUCAGUCUCGUGGGCAAAAAUUAUGUAAGUGUUUCAAUAUCACAAAAUGUUCAUUCCACCCUGUGUUAUUGAAAGCUUGUUAAGAAAAAGCUUCUUUCCUCUUACACUGGCUCCAGAUCUAUGCAGAAUUACAGGGAUGAAAAUGGAGAGGAAACUAAAGAAAAGAAGGUCCAGUGACAGGCUCAAAGAGGGAUCCAGCUCAAGGGUAGAUCUCAAGACCUUACACUAUCACUGAAGCUAUGGAGAGCUCACAAAAAGGGACCUAGCAUGACCCCACUCUGGAAGACUCAUCAAGCAGCUGAAAGAAUCAGAGGCAGAUAAAAUUUUUAAAUGAUGUAAUUUUCCUACAAAAACCUCUUCUGCA
rnacentral:lncRNA from 1 species